rnacentral:rRNA from 1 species
GAACGCUGGCGGCGCGCCUAAUACAUGCAAGUCGAGCGAGAAGACGUAGCAAUACGUUUGUAAAGCGGCGAACGGGUGAGGAAUACAUGGGUAACCUACCCUCGAGUGGGGAAUAACUAGCCGAAAGGUUAGCUAAUACCGCGUACGCUCCUUGGACUUCGGUUCAGGGAGGAAAGCGAUACCGUGGGUAUCGCGCUCUUGGUUGGGCUCAUGUCCUAUCAGCUUGUUGGUGAGGUAACGGCUCACCAAGGCUUCGACGGGUAGCUGGUCUGAGAGGACGAUCAGCCACACUGGCACUGCGACACGGGCCAGACUCCUACGGGAGGCAGCAGUAAGGAAUAUUGCGCAAUGGGCGAAAGCCUGACGCAGCGACGCCGCGUGGGGGAUGAAGGUCUUCGGAUUGUAAACCCCUUUCGGGAGGGAAGAUGGAACGAGCAAUCGUUCGGACGGUACCUCCAGAAGCAGCCACGGCUAACUUCGUGCCAGCAGCCGCGGUAAUACGAAGGUGGCAAGCGUUAUUCGGAUUUACUGGGCGUACAGGGAGCGUAGGCGGUUCGGUAAGCCCUCUGUGAAAUCUCCAGGCUUAACCUGGAACAGUCGGAGGGGACUGCUGGGCUAGAGGACGGGAGAGGAGCGCGGAAUUCCCGGUGUAGCGGUGAAAUGCGUAGAGAUCGGGAGGAAGGCCGGUGGCGAAGGCGGCGCUCUGGAACGUUUCUGACGCUGAGGCUCGAAAGCGUGGGG